ACUUAACUUCUCUGUGCCUCAGCUCCCCACCUGCACAAUGGGGAUCAACACAUUAAAGACGUGAAGUGCUUGGAGAUCUACUGAUAAAAAGCACUAUAUAAGCAAUAGAUAUUAUUAAUAUUCCCUAAAUGAUCCCGCUUUGCUGCUGCUACCAGUUUGAGCCUGGAUUGAAAUUCCUUGCCAGCCUGCUGCUAGGGAGAACAUCCAGGAGUGGUCUGUCUUUAAUGAUGCAAAGAUCUUCCUCCCAAUGACAGUGCCCAAAGCUGUUUCCAUGAUCCUACAGGCCCUGUGGGAGCAAAGGUCAGUGCCCAAGCUCCUGGGGGAGUUACUGGAUUCAGGACAGGCCCGCAGCUGAUCAACAUGACUGGCUGUCCCCACUGUGACACUGCUUGAUUUGCUCCACAGAGCAGGUAUCUCCAGGAGAAGGACCCCUUUGCAACACAAGUUGGUUAAGUUCCUUUCAAAACAGAAACAGCUGUUGGGGGUGAAGGGAGAGAAGCGAAAGGAUAUGGAGCACAAAACAUGACAUGCCUGAAAAUGACACAUGACUGGCCAACGGGGAAGAGGGAUUCGCGAUUCUCUGUCAUAAAUGUCAACAAGUUAGAGAUGGCCCCAGACCAUCUGGGGACAUGUGAUAUGUCAGUAAAAGAGAGUGACAGGAGACUGCUGGGCUUCAUUAAUACCCCAGAUGGAAAACAAUUUGCUGGCCGUCAUCUUUACCUCAAAGUUACAGAAAUGAAAACCAGGCUAGUCUCACCCUACUCUGCUUCAGUCACUGCUGGAUUUAUACUGCAAGUUCUGUUCAUCAGCCUGUCCCCUUAUAUAUACCUCCUCGGCCCCACCACAGCAGUCACCUGUGGCCUCCAUCCCUGCCAGAACAAGCCCCUCCAGGGCCUCUGUUCCCCUGUAGAUCACAGCAUAGUUUCUACCCACAGUAUUUAUCUCACCUUCCCAUCCAUCCAUCUAUCCAUCCCAUCUCGCUUGCUCAUCCUGCCAUGGAUCCAUCCAAUCAUGCAUCCACCCCUCUAUUCCUCUACUGCAUCCACCUGCAGCAUCUAUCAGUUGGCACAUCGUGUUCCCUCCAGCCCUUUGUCCUGCAACAGCCUAUCUGUCUGUAUGACUGUAACCAAAGGGAGCAUGUGUCUGAUGCCUGUGACAUCUAAAGGUUUGGUCCAGGUGGAAAUGUGUCAUGUGGUAAUAAGGUCUGUCCAUGGAGAUGGUCAGAGACAGUCACAUAGAGGUCUGUCAGUCAAGGGGCUCCACCUUAGCAGCGACCUUUCCCAGCUCUUUGUUACCUGUGCUGGGUAAAGGUCUGUGAGAGGUAAUAGGUCCAAUUCAUUUUAAACCCCUGGGAACCUGGUGUGUGGGGGAUACUGGAUUUUCAGGCGCAAGCUGCACUAUAAUAUUAGGCAGAUUUGUAACCAGUCAUUGGCCUAGUUUGUAUCCUCACAAAUGUGGUUAGUAUUUAGUUAAUAAUCAUGGCAGCUGUCCAGGUGUUGCCCUGGCCAACAGGUUAGGUGGAGCCAGGGUUGUCAUCCUGUUGUGGGUGUGUAGCACAGUGUUUUGCUGACCCUAUAAGUGUGUCUUUGUAACAGACUUGGCCAGUCUCUCUGCCUCCCGGCUGUCUGUGACAGGACAUCCAAGACUGCUUUGCCUCACAUGCUGCCCUCUGUGUCUGUUCUCUGGGUACGCUAGCAUCACUGGAGGCACUGCAACACCCAGAGAACACCCAAACUCAGAUGGUCAGUGGUUUUAUAUUAACAACCCCGUGGGAUUUUUGCUGUAGGCCUUGUCACAAUGGCAGGGUAGGAACUGAAAUCUUGAGGCUUAAGAGGGGUAAAGGAUGGGAAAUCAAACAUCUGGGCCCUGAAAUUCUUCCUGAGGAGACACCAGUUCUGCCUCUUGCAUUAAUCUCCACUCUGAGGCCUGAGACAUUGACUCCCUAAUCAUGUGGUCUAUCUUCCCGCUUCCCCAUUGCCUCCUGCCAUUGCUGUGUCCUGUCCACUCUCUCAGGCCAGCAACCAGCAGGGGGCAGGAGGCAUGUAUGAGGAAGGCAGGGACGGAUUGGUGUGACAAGGAAGGGAGGGGACCAGACCUAGGGAUGUGGGCAAGGGGAAGGCCUCCUUAGGUGCUCAUUAAGGGGGUCAGAGGAAUGUAGGGAAGUGGGCAGGGCUCUGGGAAGAGAGUAGGAGCAGGGAAUGAGGCAGGUUUCCUGCUGAGGCAAUAGGGGAGCCUGUGAUUGAAUUCACUUGGCAUCUUCCCCUCCACCCUCCGAGGAGGGCAUGGACUAAAAGUCUGUGACCCCUGAAGCCACAGGGAACAGCGAGCCCGGUUGAAUUGGCUUCAUUUAAUAACCGAUUCUUCCUGAGUCCGCUCCUUUGGCAUUUCCAAGCGAAGCAAAUGGUGUGGCCUCAGGAUCCCCAGCGGCUCGGCUGGGAGCGAGGCCCUGCGACGAGGGCUGUGUCUGACCAGGCCUCUCCGUUACGAGGCUGAACCACCUGGUGACGGAGCAGCUGGUGAAGUGCGGCGUCCCAGCGGUGGGCAUUUCGCCCUUUGGAGCCUGGAAGACAGCAGGCAAGAAAGUCAGCCAGGCUGGCAUUUCUGCCAUAAGGGACGCCUUGGAUGCUGGCUACAUCCCGGUCGUGCAUGGGGACUGUGCUCUGGACUCUGAACAGCACUGCUGUAUCUUAUCUGGGGAUGCUAUCAUCGAGGUUCUGUCCAGGGAAUUCUCCCCGCAGCGAGUGGUUUUCUUGACCAAUGUCAGUGGAAUCUAUGACCGUCCACCUGAUACCCCAGGUAUGGUGUAU